GUUGUAACCCCUCUCCGUAAAACCUGUAUACUUUCCCAGAAAUGUAAAAUAUAAAUAUACAUAUAUAUUCUCAAAACUUCAUUUUUACUAUCUCAACAUUUUUCUUUAUCAAUCAUGUCAUGCCAUGUCUAAUUCAACAAUUAAGUAUGGAUGCAUCAACAAUAAUCAUAUCAGGUGCAAGAAAGUAAUCAACCGGAGGCCCUCUAAUAGCCCUGCACGGUUGAACCUAGAGCUCAAAAUCUAUCACUCUCACUCUGCCGGAGUCACCUCUGUGACCCGUCCGGCCUUCUGCACACAAGUUACGCUCUAGUGCUUCUCUCAUCAAUCAUCUGUGCACAUAACCUAAGGUCACCCACCAGUCGAAAUCUCACUAACACUCUUCGACUGGCCCGUUGCACCCACUCCGCGUGGACUGUGCGACCAGCAUCUACUUGGAUCCAAGGCGAGCGUGCGAUGCGGUGAAUACUAUAAGCACUAAACCAUGGUGCAGGAUUUGAGCUCAAUAUAUAUCAUCAUCAUCAUAACAGUAAUUAAAUACUCACCUGAUACUCACCUGUGCGUCCGCCGCACCAAUUCAUACAUAUGCAUCAUAUAUCAAUUCAUAUCAUUUGAUUCAUAUCAUUUCAUGCAUGGCAAUUCGAUUUACAUUUCCAUAUAUAUUUCAUAUACUUCUAUGCAUGACCUUUCGAUUCACGUUUUCAUAUAAUUCUAUAUACCUUUCGUUUAAAACAUAAUUUCAUUCUAAUUCAAUUUCUGGGAAAACGUCAAGUAUAUAUAUAUAUAUACGGAAAACAAAACUGCCCACUCACAGAUUACAUCGACGUCUCGUAAGUCCCUGAGCAUCCCUUGGCCAUGCCCGAUGCCCGCAUAAACCUCACCUAUACAAAAGUAACCAUUUUGACGUUAUUUAACGCCUAACCCAAAACUUAGUUAAUAACUCCUCAUAUAUUGCUCAAUUUGGGUUUAUGAAUAUACCACCGUGACCUACACAACCUCAGGAUCAUCCCCAUAUUUUUAAAAUAAUUUUUGGAGGUCUCACGCGCCCCCACGCGCCUGACGUGGCACGGACCUACGCGCCCCCCACGCGCGGCCACGUGACAUGCACACUGACGGCUACAAUGAACGGCGUUAGGGAAUAUUCCGUCAAAUCCUAGUAUAUUCCGUUAAAAACUAACGGUUUCCGUUAAAACUGACUAACGGCGUCAGAAUAUUCCGUCAAACUUGACGGAAUAUUCCGUCACCUUCAACCUUCAGCUCCGGCGACCGUCGCCGGCGCCGGAAACUGGGUAAUUUUUCAAAUUCACUAAUCGCCUUCGUUUUUCGUCCAAUUUCUUCGAAUUUUACACCAAAAUGAAGCAUUUAACAUGUACUAUCACGUUGGAAGGUUUUUAAACCUUAAAAACAACAAGAUCAUACCUUCCAAAAUUCCUCAAAUUCGGCCAAACUCGAAACCAGUGAUCCCGAUAUCCAUUUUGUUCAAACGAGGCACUCCGAGCCUCCUCGUGACCUCCUUAAGCUCACUGUGAGAUUGUUUUAGCCUAAAACAUAGUCAUUUAGAAGGUCAUGAAUAGUGCCAUUUCACGGGGUCUUUAGAAACUAGGAUUUCAGAAAUGAAACUUACUUGAAAAUGGUAUCCCCGUGUUCGUGAAGUCAUCAGGAGUGUCGUGGUGAUCUUCACUUGGACGUUCGUGCAUGUUUUAGGUAAGUUUGUGUGUGAGCUUGUGAGUUCGAGAGUAAGAGAGAGUGAGAGAGAAUGAAGUCUGAGGAAGAGAGAGAGAGUGACUGAGGAGAUGAGAGAGACAACAAAACGGAAAAUGGGGAGGGAUUUAGGGUAUAGGACCCCACCUAAAGUCCAAACACAAAAUUAUUAGUCCAAGUUUAAGUCUAACUAACAAAAGCUUAGGAACUUUAGAUAAAACUAAAUGUCAAAUUUACGCACCUUAAUCCCGUUUAAGGUCACUUUUGUAAUUUCACGUCCUCGGUAUUAGUAGUUCCGGGACGGGCUGUGACAAUCUCCCCUCCUUAUAGAAUUUCGUCCCCGAAAUUCCAGUCACUAACCAGUAUCAAAACUCAUAAAAUAGCCUCGGAUACAUAUCCCUCAUCCGUUCUUCUGUCUCCCAUGUAGCUUCUUCCACUGUAUGGUUUCUCCACAAUACUUUUACCAAGCUCACUGUCUUAUUCCUCAGAGUCUUAUCUUUCCAAUCCAGUAUAGUCACUGGUUCUUCGUCGUACGUCAAAUCCAGAUUAAUUUCCAAAAGUUGAGGAGGAAUCACAUGUGAAGGAUCUGAAACAUAAUGCCGAAGCAUCGAGACAUGGAACACAUUAUGUACCUUAGACAACUCUGGAGGCCAUUCAAUUCUAUAAUCAACUUCACCAACCUUUCGAUGAUCACGCUAAGUCCGAUUCAUUUAGGAUUUAACUUGCCUUCCUUUCCAACCCGAAUUAUACUUUUCUAUGGUGAACACUUCGAAAAUAUAAAACCAUUUACCUUAUAUACUCGAUUAGUGGCAUAUCUAUCUGUUGAUCUCUUUUGCCAUUCCUGGUUACUUCAGGUUAACUUAAUCACCUGAAUACUUUGAGGAGACUCAUCCAUAGUCUCAAGGUCUACUAAAACUCUUUCUUGAUCGAAUCUUUCUCUAUUCAGAAGCAUUUCAUUCACACGACACGCUUCAGGGACCCUAUGGCGUUAUUUCGGAAACUGCGCACCCAACAUACUUAAGAAACUCAGCAGUUCCGUAAUCCAAUUCUCUUUCCAUAAAACAAAUAAGUACCGUUGUCCUGUCUGGGAAAAAUUAUUACUCAACACUGGAGUAAAUAUACUAACUUGUUACGUUGCCCAACCAUCACUUCACAUUCGAUCGUAACCAUCUUGUAUACAAGGAAACUUGUACACAUAGUCCAAAGUAAUAUCUUUCCAUUUCCGUUUCGAAACAGAAAAUAGUUAUCUCAAUCCAAAGGUUUAUUUCUUUCUGCCUCAAUCUACUGACCAAUAAAAAUGUCGAAUGGUAUGAUAAACCUUAUUACUUUCGGAAUAUUGCAGAAGUUAAACAAUGUACUUCGUCCAAAAUUGCUUACUUUAAACCCACAGCAUUAGGCACAUACUUUUCGUUUGCUUGUAUUCACAUACCAUCCGAUUCACGAAUCAUGUACUCAUUCUUUUUCCUUUCUUUCCUUGCCUUAGUUAAUUCUUAAAUUUCUUCGUUAACCAUUUGAGUCUCGAGUACGACCUUACCAAAAGGCCUAACUUGAAACUUAGCAAGUAUAACUUCUUCUCGAUCUUUCAUUCUUAACUUUACUUUAGUUGGUUUCCAAUCCACAAGAGGAUAAUCAUGGCAAGCGUACCAGAUAUUAAUUCUUACUGCAGUCUUCUCACCAAGUGCUUCAGCUAGAACAAACUUUACGAUCACCCUGAUCGUACAAUCAUGUUCAUUAAACAAUACAAUUCACAUUCGCUGCCUCCUAUCAAAAUCCUUCCAAGUAAUGGAUGUUGAAGACUCUUUUGAUUUGUAAAAUCUUGCAUUCUUAUCAACAUAGAAUGUCUCUAUAACUUCACAGCAAGGAUGAGAAUCAUGACCUCCAAAUCACCAGUAGGGUAAUUCAUCUUAUGAGAUUCCAUUUGUCGUGAAACGUAUGCAAUCACUCUAACAUUUGUAUCAAUACAUAUCCAAGAACAUUUAAUGUAACAUCACCAUAUACCGAUAAUUAUCGCUAUCUUCUGGGAAUAUUAAAAUACGUGCAUGAGUGAGGAAAUACUUCAGUUGUUGAAUCCUUUGCUUACAAUUUCCUUCCCACUGAUACAUAACCUCUUUUUCUCAACAGUCUCGUCAAUGACAAAGCAAUGACUGAAAAAUCUUUCACAACCAUCCAAGAUAGCCUGGUAAGUUAAGAAAUUCCAAAUCUCAAUUACGACUCGUGGUUGUUCCAAAUUCUCAAUUUCUGCUAUCUUUUAAGGAUUCACUUGAAUACCUUAAGAAUAUAUAACAAUUCUCAGAAUGCCACUUGAUUCAUUUAACUUUAGCCUUUGCUAAACUUAGCAUACAACCAACGUUCUCUCAAUCUUUGCUUCAUCGACUUAAUAUGUUUACAUGCUCUGCUCUGGCUCCGAAUGUACCAGAAUAUCGUCAAUGACAAAUGAUAUCUAUUUAUCAAGGUAUUAUUGGAAUACUUCAUCCAUCAACUCAUAAAACAACAUGAGUAUCCAUAUAGCAUCACCAAACUUCAUAAAGACUAUAACGAGUCCAGAAAAACAAUCUUAGGAACAACGUUACUCAUAAUCUUCAAUUGAUAAUAAACAGACUUCAAGUCAAUCUUUGAAAAUAUACAAGCACCUUUGAACUGAUCAAAUGAGCGUCAAUACACCACAAUGAAUAACGGUUCUCAUUCGUUACCCGAUUCCAUUAUCUAUAAUCAAUGGAUAGCCUUAAAAAUCCAUUUUCUUCCUCACCAACGAACUGGGGUUCCCCCAAAGCGUUGUACUAGGUUGAAUAAAACUUUUAUCAACCAAUUCUUUCAACUGAAUUUCCAAUUCCCUUAACUCAUCCUGAACCAAUCUCCAAUAUAAAUUUAUACCUGGCAACAAUUCAAUAGUGAACCUCAUAUCUCUGCCUGAAGGCAAUCCAGGUAUACUUUCAAGGAAGACAUCAAGAAAAGUCUAACCCCUUUUUCAUUUUUCACAUUUCUCCGAGCAACAUCCUUUAGUACCACAUGAGCUAAGUAUUUUUGACAGCCUUUCGAAAACAAUCUCUUUGCUCUCAUAGCAUAAAUAACGGCCUGACUCAAUCCACUUUGCAUACUUACAAAAGUAAUCUCUGGUCAUCCAGAUCGAUGGAAAGUACUGGUUUCCCGUAACAUUCCGUCUUGUCACAAUUAUAACCAACCAAUCUAAUGGAACAGAAUUAACUGAUACAAUAUAUAUUCUAUUAAUAUUAAGCAUUCUAAAUAAGUACAAUACUAACAUAAAAUAACCUACCGGUUUGCUUGCUUAACGAAUCCACGAAUAAGUUAUUAAUAUUACGGUCUGCAGCCCGCAAUACUGAUAAAUCAUCGUUGUCUCGAUAAGUAGGCAACCACUCUCAAAGAUAUAAUAAUACUAUUUUGUUACUCAAUGCAAAAUACAUACACUCGUCUCAACUACAAUUAAUUACUACUCUCUAGGUAAUAACAUACAUAAUAAGAAAUAUAUCAGCCGAAGUCAACUAGAAUGACCAAUACGGCUGAUUCAACUCUUAUCUCAAUAAUACGUCGGCCGGAUCCACUCCGCGUGGUCGGUACGGCCGAGCCUAUAACUCACCAAUUUCUCAUGCGUCAAUCGAAUCCAUUUCUCAUGGUCUGUACGGCUGAACAUAUAACUCAUCAAAUCUCUCUGUACUCACGGUCAAUCCGACCAAACUACUAAAUCCAUAACUCUGCUGAAUCGACACUAUGAUAUCAUGGAAAAUUGUUGAGUACAACUGAUUCUAGGGACGAUUCACAAUUCUGUGUCCCCUCUGUUCACAUAAACACAUUCAUUGAUUUCACACUUCCCAAAGUGUUAAUUUUGUACCUGCUGCACAAAGUACAUUUCCUUUACUCGAGACACCUUGUCUCAAAUAUCUGGGAUUACCAGUAUAUCCAUCACUUUUAUUCUGACCAGCGACAUUAAAACCUCAGCUGGAAGAAUUAACUCUAGCUUCACUUCUUUCGAAGCUCUGAAUCUUUCUAUAUCCUUGAUAUGACGAAUCAUUAACUUUAUCGUCUUCUUUUAAUUCCCAUUCAUUUCUUAUUCUUCUUUAUUCUCGUUGCUCAUGUUCUCAGAGUCCUCAAGACUCAACAGCAUCUCGUAUAUUCCUGGUAAGAAGUAUAAUGGAUAAUGGUCACCCAAAAUACCACUUCCCUUUUUGCCACCCAGCUUAAAACAACAUAACACCUCCACCAAAUUAGCAGCAAUAUCAGAAUGGAAACGAGGCUAGCUUGAAAACUUUCUAUAAUAUCCCUCGAUCAUCACCUUCCUUGUCUCAUAUUUGUAAACUCUUGUUUACUACCAUCGAUCAAUGCCGGAGGAAUAAACUUUUCCUUAAACAAGUCCUUAAACAAUUUUAAAUCGGCUGAUUCCUCUGGUGACAACAAUUAACAAUCCUGUUUCCACCAGGAUACAAAUUCAUACCCAAAACCAGGUAGUCGUCUCGACCCCCUGUCAGAAGGAAGAUUCCUUUGACUUGCAUAAUCUGAAACAUCUUUUUCAAAUGGUUAAACCGUUACUUCGUUCCCUCAGGUUCAUCAUUUCAUAAGGUGAUUCAAAUUCAACUCAUAACCCGUCUUAAAAUGUCCAUUUUGAUAAUAUACUGAAUCACCAUAAUAAUAGUUUCCCCUAAACCGCUAUAUUAGGGAGACUAAAUUCCUCUAACUAAGUCGCUUGCUACGAGGCGGUGUAGUUCUGACAGAAUUCACUAGAAACUUCUCAAGAUGUCCAAGAUUGCAACCAUGCUCUGAUACCAACUAACACACCCCGUCCCGAAGGAGGGCAUGCUGGCCGUCACGUGAGAGUGACGUAACCAUUUGCACAGUAUGGAAGCUUUAAGAUACAAUUUAUAAGUUGAUACACCCGAAGGUGAGUCCUAAUUUUGUCCAAUCUGUCAGAACACCGUCGAAUUCCUCGUAGUCACCACACCUUUGUGAUUCCUGAACCUGGAGGGGCGCAAAACCAAAAUUGAGUGGGUCAGUAAAACAAUUCUUUUCCAAAUCCAAACAUUUCUCAAAACGUUGUAACCCCUCUCCGUAAAACCUGUAUACUUUCCCAGAAAUGUAAAAUAUAAAUAUACAUAUAUAUUCUCAAAACUUCAUUUUUACUAUCUCAACAUUUUUCUUUAUCAAUCAUGCCAUGCCAUGUCUAAUUCAACAAUUAAGUAUGGAUGCAUCAACAAUAAUCAUAUCAGGUGCAAGAAAGUAAUCAACCGGAGGCCCUCUAAUAGCCCUGCACGGUUGAACCUAGAGCUCAAAAUCUAUCACUCUCACUCUGCCGGAGUCACCUCUGUGACCCGUCCGGCCUUCUGCACACAAGUUACGCUCUAGUGCUUCUCUCAUCAAUCAUCUGUGCACAUAACCUAAGGUCACCCACCAGUCGAAAUCUCACUAACACUCUUCGACUGGCCCGUUGCACCCACUCCGCGUGGACUGUGCGACCAGCAUCUACUUGGAUCCAAGGCGAGCGUGCGAUGCGGUGAAUACUAUAUAAGCACUAAACCAUGGUGCAGGAUUUGAGCUCAAUAUAUAUCAUC
rnacentral:lncRNA from 1 species